rnacentral:rRNA from 1 species
GGGCUCCUUAUGUAAUAGCUGCGCGGUGGAUACUUGCCGGUCUGGGCGGUGAAAGCCGUUCGGGCCGGGGAAAGGCCACUGCGGGCGGGGCCCAUUCACAUUUCUCGAAGACGUCACGGGCUCUUCACUGGGUCUGUGGUCGCGGAUUCGAGACAUUUACUUUGAAAAAAUUAGAGUGUUCAAAGCAGGCUUUUACGCUUGAAUACAUUAGCAUGGAAUAAUGGAAUAGGACUUUGGUCUUAUUUUGUUGGUUUCUAGGACCGAAGUA